GGGCAAAGUAGAGGUUCAGUGGGUCGUCGAUGACGGCGCGAGCGAGAAGCCUACGAGCAGCGGAAAUGAGAGUCGGUGAAGCACGCUGAGUCUUCCUGGCGGGAAUGAAUCGGCCGUCAAAGACACCACCGGGAGGGUUUAAAUCGACUGUAGGAUCAGCGUGGAUGUAGAUAUUGUAACGCAAUCCAUGGCCGCGGAAGAACCGUUCC
rnacentral:misc_RNA from 1 species